rnacentral:rRNA from 1 species
UAGGGAAUCUUCGGCAAUGGACGAAAGUCUGACCGAGCAACGCCGCGUGAGUGAAGAAGGUUUUCGGAUCGUAAAACUCUGUUGGUAGAGAAGAACGUUGGUGAGAGUGGAAAGCUCAUCAAGUGACGGUAACUACCCAGGAAGGGACGGCUAACUACGUGCCAGCAGCCGCGGCAAUACGUAGGUUUCGAGCGUUGUCCGGAUUUAUUGGGCGUAAAGCGAGCGCAGGUGGUUUAUUAAGUCUGGUGUAAAAGGCAGUGGCUCAACCAUUGUAUGCAUUGGAAACUGGUAGACUUGAGUGCAGGAGAGGAGAGUGGAAUUCCAUGUGUAGCGGUGAAAUGCGUAGAUAUAUGGAGGAACACCGGUGGCGAAGGCGGCUCUCUGGCCUGUAACUGACACUGAGGCUCGAAAGCGUGGGGAGCAAACAGG